rnacentral:rRNA from 1 species
GACGAACGCUGGCGGCGUGCCUAAUACAUGCAAGUUGAGCGCUGAAGGUUGGUACUUGUACCAACUGGAUGAGCAGCGAACGGGUGAGUAACGCGUGGGGAAUCUGCCUUUGAGCGGGGGACAACAUUUGGAAACGAAUGCUAAUACCGCAUAAAAACUUUAAACACAAGUUUUAAGUUUGAAAGAUGCAAUUGCAUCACUCAAAGAUGAUCCCGCGUUGUAUUAGCUAGUUGGUGAGGUAAAGGCUCACCAAGGCGUUGAUACAUAGCCGACCUGAGAGGGUGAUCGGCCACAUUGGGACUGAGACACGGCCCAAACUCCUACGGGAGGCAGCAGUAGGGAAGCUUCGGCAAUGGACGAAAGUCUGACCGAGCAACGCCGCGUGAGGGAAGAAGGUUUUCGGAUCGUAAAGCUCUGUUGGUAGAGAAGAACGUUGGUGAGAGUGGAAAGCUCAUCAAGUGACGGUAACUACCCAGAAAGGGACGGCUAACUACGUG